rnacentral:misc_RNA from 1 species
AUCAAAAACAUCAACGUUCUUCAGUUCUAAAAAGUAACGGGAGGUUCCUUUAUUGCGUCACGGAACGAGACUUUUGUCGCUGGAAGUACAAGUAGAGAGUAAUUCCGGUUUUAACGUCUUACAUUACGCGCAACGACCCAGCAAUUACGAAGAGAGCAAUUUUUCCGAGCUCCAAAUGAAUCUCUGCUACCUUUGCGGUUCGCGAACGUUAGACGUAUUAAGAAUUCUGACGAUGGAGGAAACUCUUCAUUAUCGGCAAUUAAAUAAUGUAGAAUUUUCAAUAUGGAACUUACUCCUACCUUAAUAU